CACAGCAAUAAUACUCCCAGUAAUGUGUCUGAGUGUAUAACAGAGCUCCAUAGCAAUAAUACUCCCAGUAAUGUGUCUGAGUGUAUAACAGAGCUCCACAGCAAUAAUACUCCCAGUAAUGUGUCUGAGUGUAUAACAGAGCCCCACAGCAAUAAUACUCCCAGUAAUGUGUCUGAGUGUAUAACAGAGCUCCACAGCAAUAAUACUCCCAGUAAUGUGUCUGAGUGUAUAACAGAGCCCCACAGUAAUAAUACUCCCAGUAAUGUGUCUGAGUGUAUAACAGAGCUCCACAGCAAUAAUACUCCCAGUAAUGUGUCUGAGUGUAUAACAGAGCUCCACAGCAAUAAUACUCCCAGUAAUGUGUCUGAGUGUAUAACAGAGCUCCACAGUAAUAAUACUCCCAGUAAUGUGUCUGAGUGUAUAACAGAGCCC